rnacentral:lncRNA from 1 species
CCCCAAAAAACUGGCUCACUCUGCGUCCAUUCUGCGGUCCAAAGAGUGGUUCUGCGGCCAUAGAACGGACUGCAGAAAUGCCUACUUUGCGACCAUUCUACGGUCCGCAGAGAGGUUCUGCGGCUGUAGAACGGGCCACAAAAAUGCCUACUUUUGCCCAACAUUCUCCUUCAACUCCCCAGAAAACUGCCUCACUCCCCGACAAAUCUGCGGUCCGUAGAGUGGUUUUGCGGCCGCAUAAUGGGUCACAGAAAUGCCUGCUUCUGCCCAACAUUUUCCUUUAAUUCACCAGGCACUAUUCAAUCCAAAAGGUCUGAACCUCCCUUCGCAAAAGUCUAAGGAUGACUGUGCGACCAAAGUGCGGCCCGCGAAAUGGUUAUGUGUUCGCAGAAAUUGCCGCGAAAUCGACAUCAAAAACGCCCCAGAAAACUACCUCACUUUGCGACCAAUCUGCGGUCCGUAGAGUGGUUCUGCGGCAGCA